rnacentral:rRNA from 1 species
CCUACGGGGGGCUGCAGUGAGGAAUCUUCGUCAAUGGGCGCAAGCCUGAACGAGCAACGCCGCGUGUGGGAAGACGGCCUUCGGGUUGUAAACCACUUUUUUCUGGAACGAGAACGGACGGUACCAGAAGAAGAAGUCUCGGCUAACUACGUGCCAGCAGCCGCGGUAAUACGUAGGAGACGAGCGUUGUCCGGAGUUACUGGGCGUAAAGGGUGCGCAGGCGGUUGGUUUUGUGGGUGGUGAAAUCUCCUGGCUUAACUGGGAGGGUGCCAUCCAAACGGGCUAACUUGAGGCGUGGAGAGGGACGUGGAAUUCCGGGUGGAGCGGUGAAAUGCGUAGAGAUCCGGAGGAACACCGACGGCGAAGGCAGCGUCCUGGCCACGACCUGACGCUCAGGCACGAAAGCUGGGGGAGCAAACAGGAUUAGAUACCCCUGUAGUC